rnacentral:rRNA from 1 species
AUUGAACGCUGGCGGCAGGCUUAACACAUGCAAGUCGAACGGUAACAGGAAGAAAGCUUGCUUUCUUUGCUGACGAGUGGCGGACGGGUGAGUAAUGCUUGGGAAUCUGCCUUAUGGAGGGGGAUAACUACGGGAAACUGUAGCUAAUACCGCGUAAUAUCUUCGGAUUAAAGUAUGGGAUCUUCGGACCAUAUGCCAUAAGAUGAGCCCAAGUGAGAUUAGGUAGUUGGUGAGGUAAAGGCUCACCAAGCUGACGAUCUCUAGCUGGUUUGAGAGGAUGACCAGCCACACUGGAACUGAGACACGGUCCAGACUCCUACGGGAGGCAGCAGUGGGGAAUAUUGCACAAUGGGCGCAAGCCUGAUGCAGCCAUGCCGCGUGAAUGAAGAAGGCUUUCGGGUUGUAAAGUUCUUUCAGCGAUGAGGAAGGUUGCAUAUCUAAUAGGUAUGCAAAUUGACGUUAGUCGCAGAAGAAGCACCGGCUAACUCCGUGCCAGCAGCCGCGGUAAUACGGAGGGUGCGAGCGUUAAUCGGAAUAACUGGGCGUAAAGGGCACGCAGGCGGUUGUCUAAGUCAGAUGUGAAAGCCCCGAGCUUAACUUGGGAAUUGCAUUUGAGACUGGGCGACUAGAGUCCUCUAGGGAGGGGUAGAAUUCCACGUGUAGCGGUGAAAUGCGUAGAGAUGUGGAGGAAUACCGAAGGCGAAGGCAGCCCCUUGGAGAGAGACUGACGCUGAGGUGCGAAAGCGUGGGUAGCAAACAGG